rnacentral:rRNA from 1 species
UACGAAGGGGGCUAGCGUUGCUCGGAAUGACUGGGCGUAACGGGCGCGUAGGCGGUUUGGUUAGUUAGGCGUGAAAUUCCUGGGCUCAACCUGGGGCCUGCGCUUAAUACAGCCAGGCUAGAGUGUGGAAGAGGGUCGUGGAAUUCCCAGUGGAGAGGUGAAAGUCGUAGAUAUUGGGAAGAACACCGGUGGCGAAGGCGGCGACCUGGUCCAUUACUGACGCUGAGGCGCGAAAGCGUGGGGAGCAAACAGG